rnacentral:rRNA from 1 species
AUUGGAAGGGGUGUAUUUAUUAGAUAAAAAACCAAUGCCCUUCGGGGCUCUUUGGUGAAUCAUAAUAACUUAACGGAUCGCAUGGCCUUGCGCCGGCGACGGUUCGUUCAAAUUUCUGCCCUAUCAACUUUCGAUGGUAAGGUAUUGGCUUACCAUGGUUUCAACGGGUAACGGGGAAUUAGGGUUCUAUUCCGGAGAGGGAGCCUGAGAAACGGCUACCACAUCCAAGGAAGGCAGCAGGCGCGCAAAUUACCCAAUCCCGACACGGGGAGGUAGUGGCAAUAAAUACUGAUACAGGGCUCUUUUGGGUCUUGUAAUUGGAAUGAGUACAAUUUAAAUCCCUUAACGAGGAACAAUUGGAGGGCAAGUCCGGUGCCAGCAGCCGCGGUAAUUCCAGCUCCAAUAGCGUAUAUUAAAGUUGUUGCAGUUAAAAAGCUCGUAGUUGAACCUUGGGCCUGGCUGGCCGGUCCACCUCACCGCGUGUACUGGUCUGGCCGGGCCUUUCCUUCUGGAGAAUCUCAUGCCCUUCAUUGGGUGUGUUGGGGAACCAGGACUUUUAC